UUUAUCUAUUUGACGGGGAUUUUAAAAAUGUAUUCGAAUUUAAUCAAAGGUAACCUAAAUUUAUGAUAGGUUAGAGGACCAACCAUUUUAGUAUACUUCCUGGAUACAAGAAACGUUUCCAUGGAAACACGGAUAACAAAAUAAUAUUGUGUCCGGUUAGAAGUCGUGUUCACGUCGUCUCCAACAUGUUUUUCAUAAAGGUGAAUAUAAAAUACUUCAUGUGUGAACUAUAAAUGAAUAUUAUCCAUGGUUAAUACUACCAAGGAAGAAAUGAACGAUUAUGGAGGAAUCUUGAGCAGUGCAAGUAUGUUCCCAAAACUCGCUAAGAUUGGUGUAUAUUCAUAAUGAUGAGUCUUUGUUUAUGAUUGUAUCUAACGUUCAUUGUUUAGUUGACUUUGUUUUUGGGCACAUUUCUAUAGAAACUGAAACAUAACAUAAACCAAUUUUUAACAUGGCUUUCAUAAAGAUGAAAACAAGAACUACUACACUUGUAAACUAUAAACUGAAAUCAACCAUUAUUAACACAAGCAAAGAUGUAGUUUAACAAUUCUGGAUGAAAGUUUUGUACAGAAAAUAGUUUUGGCCAAACAUAGAAGAAUUGAUGCAAAUAUAUAAAGUUCAGUCAAUGGUCAUAACUUUAUCUAGUUCCCAUUAUUUAGUAUAUUUUGUUUUUGGACAAAUUUUCCAUGGAAACCUAAAUCAAGAUAAAAGCAAUCAACAUGUUUUUAAAGAAGGUGAAAAUAAACAUAAAAUACUUCAUCUGCAAGUCAUAAAUGAA